GUGGGGAAUCUUGCGCAAUGGGCGAAAGCCUGACGCAGCCAUGCCGCGUGAAUGAUGAAGGUCUUAGGAUUGUAAAAUUCUUUCACCGGGGACGAUAAUGACGGUACCCGGAGAAGAAGCCCCGGCUAACUUCGUGCCAGCAGCCGCGGUAAUACGAAGGGGGCUAGCGUUGCUCGGAAUUACUGGGCGUAAAGGGCGCGUAGGCGGACAGUUUAGUCAGAGGUGAAAGCCCAGGGCCCAACCUUGGAAUUGCCUUUGAUACUGGCUGUCUUGAGUACGGGAGAGGUGAGUGGAACUCCGAGUGUAGAGGUGAAAUUCGUAGAUAUUCGGAAGAACACCAGUGGCGAAGGCGACUCACUGGCCCGUUACUGACGCUGAGGCGCGAAAGCGUGGGGAGCAAACAGGAUUAGAUACCCCUGUAGUCC
rnacentral:rRNA from 1 species